rnacentral:rRNA from 1 species
UACGUAGGGGGCAAGCGUUGUCCGGAAUCAUUGGGCGUAAAGCGCGUGUAGGCGGCUUGGUAAGUCCGUUCUGAAAGCCCGGGGCUCAACCCCGGGAGGCGGAUGGAUACUGCUGAGCUCGAGUCCGGAAGAGGCGAGUGGAAUUCCUGGUGUAGCGGUGAAAUGCGCAGAUAUCAGGAGGAACACCGAUGGCGAAGGCAGGUCUCUGGGCCACUACUGACGCUGAGAAGCGAAAGCAUGGGGAGCGAACAGG